CAGUAGUUCGAAAGAUAUAUUUAAAAAUAAAAGAUAAAAAUUCAAAAAAUUAAUUAUCUAUUAACGUGGAUUUGGACGACAAUAGGUUUUUAGUUUGUGAUGUUUCAUGUGAUGAUCAUUUUCAUGUUCAUCGUCUUUGAAUUGACAUGAGGAUAUCUAUGGAAAAGUAACUAAUCUGAAAGUAAGCCAACAUAUCGUUUGUCCUUUGUGUGCUAAAGAAAAGAUUUUCUUUUCGCAUCAUGAGGAAGUAUUACAUCAAUUAAAAAAUGUUAGGAAGUUGAUUACUUGUCAUGGAAAAGUAUACCAAUGGAAAUUAUUUGUUAAAGAAGUAUAAUUCUAAGGGUUUUAAGAAUAAAUUGGUUGAACCCAAAAUCUGGAGGAAGUACCUAUAUCCAUACACAGAAUAUGCCCAUUAAAAAUACUAGUCCAAAUUUGCUUUAAUGGUAGACAAUUAUUCAAUACAAAUUAACUUUUUAAGUGACUGAAAUAUUAAAUAGUUUAGAAUAUGGUAUAACAAUGUAAAAAAAUAUUAUUUUCAGGAACGAUUAGGGCCCGAUAUAUUUGAAACUCAUGUUGGACAUAGUAUUGAGUUGGGUAGAAUAUUAUUCUACGUUAAGUGAGGGUAUCAGAUACCUAUUAUUGUACUGUAUUUUAAUAUAUACAUUAGAAUUGUUGGUUUUUU